UCCAGGUUAGUUUACAAAUUUAAAAAUAAUAUUAUUUUAUUUUUAAAAAAUUAAAAUAAUAUUAUUUUUAAUUUUUUUUAAGAGAACCUAAAUUUUUUAUUCGGAACAGGACCGCAUCCAUGGAAACUCUGCUAGAAUUUCCAUUCCCUAUCUUCUCUAAGAACCCAAGUAUCCUCGCAACAAAACCCACCAAACCCUUAGAAGUUUCAAUCGAACCUCAACCACCAGACUUUGAUUUCAGGUAAGAGAUUUUGCAAGAAUCUAGAGCCACGAUUGCAAGAACCUACACCGGAAUUGCUAGACUUGGCUAAUGAAGACACCUUAGUGUUGAUUGAGAAGAAACGUUUUGGUCCUGUACUUGCCUGGAGGACUGCGUUUGUUGAGCCAGAAGGAAUAUGGUUGCUUGGAACUAAUCAUAUCUCUAGUCAUUCUGCUGAAGGGGGGAGAGUGGUCAGGGGUAUUAAGCCUAAUAAAGUAGUAGCUGAGCUAUGUAGAAGCUGGAAAGUUUUUCUUUCCUUUUUUCUUUGGAUAUUUUGAUAGCAAUGUUUCCAUGCUGUGGAUAUUUUUGAUGGGGUAAUUUGUCCUCAAACAACAUUGUAACUUUACUUAUUGUAGAAUCCACUUGCAGAACUGGAAUUAUGUGUGCUUCCAAUGAAGGUGAGGUUAGCAAGCAAUUAAGAUCAAGUGUGUUCUCUUUGAGAGGAACUGGAUUUUUCAGAGCUUUCAGCUGGAGCAUGGACUUGGGAGGCCAAACAGCUUUAGCAUUGCGUCUACAUUUAACCCUUUUCUCAUAAAAAAUCUCUUCUCAUGUCAACCAGCCUUUCGGUGAUGAGGUAGUCGAUUGACUACUUGCAGAACACUGGAAAUCUGUUGAAUCUCAAAUUUUGAAGUUCUUUAAGAAUUGCAGUUUCGCGCUGCUCGAAAAGUGGCUGAGGAAAUUGGUGCUCAAAUAGUCUGGGGGGACAGGCCAGUUGAAUUAACCGUAUGCACAUUUCGAUUUGAGAGAUUGAUCCUUGUGGCCUUUGUUUAAUGGAACAUCAGCUUGUAUGUAAUGUGUUAUAUAGACAGACAAAUUGUUUAUUUCUUUAUAUUGUUUUUUCGUUAUCGCAGCUUGAAUGGGCUUGAAAUUCUCUAAAAUGGAAUGAGAAGAUCAGUUUAGUGA